rnacentral:rRNA from 1 species
AACGUAGGACGCGAGCGUUAUCCGGAUUUACUGGGCGUAAAGCGUGUGCAGGCGGUCACAUAAGUCGGAUGUGAAAGCUCCCGGCUCAACCGGGAGAGGCCAUUCGAUACUGUGUGACUGGAGGGCAGUAGAGGAGUGUGGAAUUCCGGGUGUAGUGGUGAAAUGCGUAGAUAUCCGGAGGAACACCGGUGGCGAAGGCGGCACUCUGGGCUGCACCUGACGCUGAGACACGAAAGCCAGGGUAGCGAACGGGAUUAGAAACCCCGGUAGUCCUGGCCGUAAACGAUGCAGACCAGGCGUUGGAGGUCAUUAACCCCUUCAGUGCCGAAGCAAACGCGAUAAGUCUGCCGCCUGGGGAUUACGGCCGCAAGGCUAAAACUCAAAGGAAUUGACGGGGACCCGCACAAGCAGCGGAGCGUGUGGUUUAAUUCGAGGCUACGCGAAGAACCUUACCUGGGCUUGACAUGUCGGUGGUAGGAAUUCGAAAGAAGACCGACCCUUCGGGGAGCCGUACACAGGUGCUGCAUGGCUGUCGUCAGCUCGUGCCGUGAGGUGUUAGGUUAAGUCCUGUAACGAGCGCAACCCUUGCCGUUAGUUACAAGUGUCUAACGGGACUGCCGGUGACAAACCGGAGGAAGGUGGGGAUGAAGUCAAGUCAGCAUGGCCUUUAUACCCAGGGCUACACACACGCUACAAUGGCCGGUACAAUGGGCUGCCAAGCCGCGAGGCGGAGCCAAUCCUCCAAAGCCGGUCUCAGUUCGGAUUGCAGGCUGCAACUCGCCUGCAUGAAGUCGGAGUUGCUAGUAACCGCGCGUCAGCAACAGUGCGGUGAAUACGUUCCCGGGUC